rnacentral:rRNA from 1 species
UACCGCAUACGCCCUACGGGGGAAAGCAGGGGAUCUUCGGACCUUGCGCUAAUAGAUGAGCCUAAGUCGGAUUAGCUAGUUGGUGGGGUAAAGGCCUACCAAGGCGACGAUCUGUAGCGGGUCUGAGAGGAUGAUCCGCCACACUGGGACUGAGACACGGCCCAGACUCCUACGGGAGGCAGCAGUGGGGAAUAUUGGACAAUGGGCGGAAGCCUGAUCCAGCCAUGCCGCGUGUGUGAAGAAGGCCUUUUGGUUGUAAAGCACUUUAAGCGAGGAGGAGGCUCCUUUAGUUAAUACCUAAAGAGAGUGGACGUUACUCGCAGAAUAAGCACCGGCUAACUCUGUGCCAGCAGCCGCGGUAAUACAGAGGGUGCGAGCGUUAAUCGGAUUUACUGGGCGUAAAGCGUGCGUAGGCGGCUUUUUAAGUCGGAUGUGAAAUCCCUGAGCUUAACUUAGGAAUUGCAUUCGAUACUGGAAAGCUAGAGUAUGGGAGAGGAUGGUAGAAUUCCAGGUGUAGCGGUGAAAUGCGUAGAGAUCUGGAGGAAUACCGAUGGCGAAGGCAGCCAUCUGGCCUAAUACUGACGCUGAGGUACGAAAGCAUGGGGAGCAAACAGGAUUAGAUACCCUGGUAGUCCAUGCCGUAAACGAUGUCUACUAGCCGUUGGGGCCUUUGAGGCUUUAGUGGCGCAGCUAACGCGAUAAGUAGACCGCCUGGGGAGUACGGUCGCAAGACUAAAACUCAAAUGAAUUGACGGGGGCCCGCACAAGCGGUGGAGCAUGUGGUUUAAUUCGAUGCAACGCGAAGAACCUUACCUGGCCUUGACAUACUAAGAACUUUCCAGAGAUGGAUUGGUGCCUUCGGGAACUUAGAUACAGGUGCUGCAUGGCUGUCGUCAGCUCGUGUCGUGAGAUGUUGGGUUAAGUCCCGCAACGAGCGCAACCCUUUUCCUUAUUUGCCAUCGGGUAAUGCCGGGAACUUUAAGGAUACUGCCAGUGACAAACUGGAGGAAGGCGGGGACGACGUCAAGUCAUCAUGGCCCUUACGGCCAGGGCUACACACGUGCUACAAUGGUCGGUACAAAGGGUUGCUACCUCGCGAGAGGAUGCUAAUCUCAAAAAGCCGAUCGUAGUCCGGAUCGCAGUCUGCAACUCGACUGCGUGAAGUCGGAAUCGCUAGUAAUCGCGGAUCAGAAUGCCGCGGUGAAUACGUUCCCGGGCCUUGUACACACCGCCCGUCACACCAUGGGAGUUUGUUGC